AUACCUUUCUCGGCCUUUUGGCUAAGAUCAAGUGUAGUAUCUGUUCUUAUCAGUUUAAUAUCUCUACGGGUUCCUAGGGUCAACCUCUAUGGGUCUUACCUAUAUGUUUGCCCUCUGAUAUUAAUUUUUUUAUAGGGAAAGGACCCUUAAUAUAGUAGCUUGCUACUUGGGGUUCCUUUUGUGUCACCCUUGUUUUGCACUUCCGUGAGGGUUUGGCACACCCGCC
rnacentral:snRNA from 1 species